rnacentral:rRNA from 1 species
AACGUAGGAGGCAAGCGUUAUCCGGAGUUACUGGGCGUAAAGGGCGUGUAGGUGGUUUCGUAAGUCUGGCGUGAAAUUUUUCGGCUUAACCGGGAAAGGUCGUCGGAUACUGCGGGACUGGAGGACGGUAGAGGCGUGUGGAAUUCCGGGUGUAGUGGUGAAAUGCGUAGAGAUCCGGAGGAACACCAGUGGCGAAGGCGACACGCUGGGCCGUACCUGACACUGAUGCGCGACAGCGUGGGGAGCAAACAGG